CAAAUCUCAACUUUAUUAGAAGAGACGCAUUUAUUAGAUAAAAAGCCAAUGCAUGCUUUUACAGUAUGAAAAUUGGUGAUUUAUAAUAACUUAGCAAAUCGCAAAGUGAAAACAGGCGAUAAAUCAUUCAAGUUUCUGACCUAUCAGCUUUCGACGGUAUGGUAUUGGCUUACCGUGGCAGUGACGGUUAACGGGGGAUUAGGGUUCGAUUCCGGAGAGGGAGCCUGAGAAACGGCUACCACAUCUAAGGAAGGCAGCAGGCGCGCAAAUUACCCAAUUCUAACAGUUUGAGAGAGGUAGUAACAAGAAAUAACAAUACAAGGCAGUUAAAAUGCUUUGUAAUUGGAAUGAUAGAAAUUUAAACCCUUUUUAAAGUAUCAAUUGGAGGGCAAGUCUGGUGCCAGCAGCCGCGGUAAUUCCAGCUCCAAUAGCGUAUAUUAAAAUUGUUGCAGUUAAAAAGCUCGUAGUUGAAGUUCUGCUAAAAGUAACCGGUCUGCUUUGAAUAAAAGUGGUAUCUUGGUAUGUAUUUAGCAAUGAUGUCCUUUGAAGUGUUUUUUACUUUAUUGUAAUAAAGCAUAUUCAGGACUUUUACUUUGAGAAAAUUAGAGUGUUUCUAGCAGGCCAACGCUUUGAAUACUGCAGCA
rnacentral:rRNA from 1 species